CUGUAGGUGACAGUUAGGUUCUCCGAGGUGGACAGAGCGGUCAGCUAGAUUUGAUUCUUGGGACCAAAUUAGUUUCUCAUCCGAGCAGAGGGAGAUGACUGCAACACAAAUCUUCCUUGCAGCAAUCUGCCUGUGUGCAGUUGCUAUGCAGGCCACAGAUGCCGCGAGCUGCAGUUACAGGUACUCACGGAGAACAAGCUAUACAACCGAUUGUGGCUGGAAUGGCUGGCAACGAUGCUCAAGAUACCGAAUACAGUAUUACACAUCUACAUGUAAUCACGGCGGAUGGUCAGCUUACUCAAGCUGGACUAAUACCUGGGGUUGUUCUCGCACCUGUGGGGGAGGGGUCCAAAAUCAACGAAGAACACGCACCUGCACCAACCCCGUUCCAACCCCUAUACAUGGCAACAACUGUACUGGCUCGGCAACCCAGACACGAACUAUACCGUGCAACACGAAGGCUUGUCCAGUAAAUGGCGGCUGGAGCUCCUGGUCCAGUUGGUCGAACCAGGGAUCAUGUUCCAGCACAUGCGGCACUGACGGGACAGUAGCACAGAGGAGUACUCGCACCUGCACGAACCCAAGUCCUGCCAACGGAGGAACCGAGUGCAGUGGAGCGACAUACCAGCUCCGCUCUACGUCCUGUAACAGAACACCUUGUCCUAUUGACGGUGGGUGGACGGUUUGGUCCAACUGGGUUGACGAAGGCAUGUGCAGUGCAACAUGUGGGGGAGGUAUGCAGCGCCAAACUCAGGAGCGAAUGUGCACCAACCCCGCCCCGGAACACGGAGGAGCGGAGUGCAGCGGUGACAGCACACGUGCACAGAGCGUCGCUUGCAACACCCACAACUGCCCAGUUGACGGUGGGUGGACGGUUUGGUCCAACUGGGUUGACGAAGGCAUGUGUAGUGCAACAUGUGGGGGAGGAAUGCAGCGCCAAACUCAGGAGCGAAUGUGCACCAACCCCGCCCCGGAACACGGAGGAGCGGAGUGCAGCGGUGACAGCACACGUGCACAGAGCGUCGCUUGCAACACCCACAACUGCCCAGUUGACGGUGGGUGGACGGUUUGGUCCAACUGGGUUGACGAAGGCAUGUGUAGUGCAACAUGUGGGGGAGGAAUGCAGCGCCAAACUCAGGAGCGAACGUGCAACAACCCCGCCCCGGAACACGGAGGAGCGGAGUGCAGCGGUGACAGCACACGUGCACAGAGCGUCGCUUGCAACACCCACAACUGCCCAGUUGACGGAGGGUGGACACCAUGGUCAAGCUGGACAGAUGCCGGAGACUGUACAGUCUUGUGUGGCGGAGGAACCAAGGUCCAGACCCACGACCGAACCUGCACCAACCCUGCCCCCCAAUACGAUGGAGCUGACUGCGACGGCGAACCGGAAGAAGAACAGACUGUUGACUGCAACACCCACGCGUGUCCAAUCCACGGUGGAUGGUCUGACUGGACGGAGUUUGCCGACGAGGGAGAGUGUUCUGUACCUUGCGGGGGUGGUGACUUGCAGCAGAAGCGGAACAGGGACUGUAACACCCCCACUCCGGAACAUGGGGGUCGGCAGUGUGAGGGGAACAGCACCCAGACCAGCGUGGUUCCCUGCAAUACACACGAGUGCCCAGUUCAUGGCGGCUGGUCUGAGUAUUCUGACUGGACUCACGACGAUGAGUGCCCUGUGACUUGUGGCGGAAGUCCGAUCAUGGAGUCAAGGUCAAGGUCAUGUGAUGCCCCGGCUCCUGCUCACGGGGGUGAAGACUGCGAGGGUUCCGCGACUGAAAGCAGGCCAGGCGUAUGCAACAACAACCCAUGCCCAGUGAAUGGAGGAUGGAGUGAAUGGUCGGACUGGUCCCAAGACGGCCAAUGCUCAGCUUCGUGCGGCGGUGGCAACAUCAUCGAGAGUCAACAUCGACGAUGUGACACCCCUGCACCUGCUCAUGGCGGGGAGGAAUGUGACGGCGAUGAUGUGAACACAAGAGAGGCCGAGUGCAACACCCAAAAGUGCCCAGUGGAUGGUGGGUGGUCCGACUGGUCCGACUGGAGAGUUGACGGCAAAUACACUGUGACUGGACACAUCGGCACAGCAAGGAUGACCCACGAUCGAACCUGCACUAACCCUGUCCCGCAAUUCGACGGCAGCGAGUGCGAGGGCCCAAGCAAGGAAUACACCCAGGCCUCCUGCCAGGUUACACAGUGUCAGGGCAUCUGUGACGAUCGUUCUGUGACUUACGCCUACAAGGGAGAAUACACAGCCUUCUACCGCUGUAAUAACGACGGACAGAUGGCCAAGGCACAGUGUCCGAGCCGGGAAUACUACAAGACUGAUGAGAGCCGCUGUGUCAAGAUCUGUGCCCCAACCGGGGUCAGGAGUAUGCCCCACCCUGGACGCAAAUGCAACAAAUAUAUUUUCUGUGUGUUUGGUAGCCCCUGGGAGAUGCCAUGCUUUAGUCAGGACGCUAACUGCCCCAGCGACUGUGUUGAGUAAAGAUGGCCAUUUUCAGGAAAAAAGCUCAUAAUGUCCUGGUAUUAAAUACAAUCCUAAAUACUGGAAUUGCAUCAUUAUUUGAUUUACUGGAUUUGUUGUCAUAUUUUUUCAAUCGAACAAUAUUUGCAAAUGCUAUAAUUUGAAAACAUAACUUGCUGUCUCUUUGAGAAUAACACCCGCUGAUCACCAGUGAUCAUUGUCAAAGUACAAGGUAUAGAAAUUGAAUCGACCAAAUAGGGUUCAUUACUAAUAUGUACAUUGGUCUGGCGUUUGGCAUGGGGAUAAUGUCAGUCCGAAUAUACAGUAAUAGGCGAUUCAAAUAAGUCCGGAUAAGCAGGGUUCCACUGUAUGGAUGAUAAGUUUGUCUUUUCUUUUCUAGAAUGAUUAAUAAAUUUCCUUCACUAUCUGAAGCCGUA
rnacentral:misc_RNA from 1 species